AACGUAGGAGGCGAGCGUUAUCCGGAGUUACUGGGCGUAAAGAGCGUGUAGGCGGAUAGGCAAGUUUGGCGUGAAAGCUCCCGGCUAAACUGGGAGAGUGCGCUGAAGACUGCAUAUCUAGAGGCGAGUAGAGGGACGUGGAAUUCCGGGUGUAGUGGUGAAAUGCGUAGAGAUCCGGAGGAACACCAGUGGCGAAGGCGACGUCCUGGGCUUGACCUGACGCUGAGACGCGACAGCACGGGGAGCGAACGGGAUUAGAAACCCCUGUAGUCC
rnacentral:rRNA from 1 species